rnacentral:lncRNA from 1 species
UCAAAUGGAAAAUUCAGUCUGACGGUAGCUCUGCCCUUAUUGAUCCCAUGGUAUACUAAUUCCUGGUGUCAGUUUCUUGGGAUGACAUCAAGCUGAAUAUCAUCUCAACAAAAGCAUCUUGUUUUGUAAACCAGCUGUUUUCAAUGAGGCCCUCUGCAUCUGUACAUCCAUCAUAUAGAUGAUCCACAUCUAAGAUGUGCAUCAUUUGUAAACAUUCCAAAGGACAUUGGAUGCUGUCAUAAGUUAAAUCCCUC